UAAGUGCUGUACAGAGUGGCUCACGUCCCAGCAGCUUCCUUUGGAUUAAGGCUUCUCCCCUGGUCUUUCCGUCCUGGGGACACGGAAGGGUUACAGGGGCUGGAGGAGGGGAAGAGGAAGUGAGGUCGGAGGGGAGGGAGGGAGAGAGGGAGGGGCCCCGCGCGGAGACCGGGCUGCGGCGCCCGCGCCUGGAAGGUGGACGCUGGACGCUGGAAGCUGGAAGCAGCCACCGGCAGGUGCGCCGGAGGAGGCCGCUAGGCGGUUCUUGGGGACACAGAAGGACGAAAGGGCAGAACAUAAUGUGGAGUUAGGUGGAGAUUAGGACAAGAUGGUGGGACCUGGAACAACGGUUCUCAGAUGUGGUCCGCGGAUCCUGGAGGGGGAGGGGCGCGAGUAUCCGCGAGCUCAAAACUAUUUUCGUAAUGAUCCUAAGGCCGAACCAUGAGCCUUUCUCACCGUAUUGACAUUUGCACGAGUGGUGCAAAAGCAACAGUGCGGGAAACAGCUGGCGGCUUAGCGUGAAUGAGGACAGAGGCACCAACUAGACCGGUAGUGAUUUUAUUGCUCAUUGCCAUGCCCUCUCCGUCUUUUUUAAAAAAAAUGUCUAUUAAUAAGGUAUCCUUGGGUAUACAUCUUUCUAAUGUUCUAUAUAAUAAAAAUGGGAAGUGGGAAUGAAGCCUUGUGCGGCAGACCUGAGUAAGAUGGUGUCUCCCGGGAAAGCCCUGAAGCUUGCUGGAGCCGUGAGCUGAAGCAGCUGCUUUUUCCUUGUAGCUGGAAAGAUUAACUGAUAGAGAAACCAUAGUGAUUCGGACCUGCAUGUUGGCAGAUAUUUUCUCAAAAAGAAAUGAAAGGAGCUGGUCACUUCAAGAAAAUAAUUGACAUUAUUUUUUGUCAAUGAUACAAUUGGAGCUUUCAAGGGAAAAUUAGAAUUUUGGAAAACUUGUCUAUACCACCCUGAGCUGGAGAGCUUCCCAAUUCUUAAAGAUGUUUCUAAUGAGAUUAGUGGUUUUAUCAAAUGUGAUUUUUUUUCAUAUUGUAUAAUAAAAUGUGUCAACUUUUGGAAGAUCUCCAUACCUCAGUGAUGCGAUAUUUUCCAAAUGAACAAUGCAUGAGUGCAUGAGUAAAAGAUCUAUUCAAGAAUGGAUUUGAAAAAGGAAAAAUAAAAUCUUUUAAAAAAGGGGGCCAGCCCCGUGGCCAAGUGGUUAAGUUCACACACUCCACUUCAGAGGCCCAGGGUUUCGACGGUUUGGAUCCUGGGCUUGGACAUGGCACCACUCAUCAGGCCAUGCUGAGGCGGCAUCCCACAUGCCACAACUAGAAGGACCCACGACUAAAACUAUAUAACUAUGUACCAGGGGACUUUGGGGAGAAAAAGGAAAAAUAAAAUCUUUAAAAGAGAAUGUAUUUAGGGGCCUGCCUGGUGGCGCAGCAGUUUAGCAAGCACAUUCCGCUUCUAUAGCCCGGGGCUCGCUGGUUCGGAUCCCGGGUGCAGACAUGGCACCGCUUGGCACGCCGUGCUGUGGUAGGCAUCCCACAUAUAAAGUAGAGGAAGAUGGGCAUGGAUGUUAGCUCAGAGCCAGCCUUCCUCAGCAAAAAGAGGAGGAUUGGCAGCAGUUAGCUCAGGGCUAAUCUUCCUCAAAAGAAAAAAAAAGAAUGUAUUUGAAUGUGACAAGAGUAGGAAAGGUGCAUAGAUGUUUCAGAUUCCACGUUGCAAUUAACCUUUGAGAAACUAUCACUUGUACAUUUUGUUAUAGUAAAAGAAUGCCCUGGAUGGGGCCUCACCUUGUCCUGUGAGCAGCCCAUGCAAGUCAGGGUACCCCUGGUGCUUAGGGUGCCCACCACGCCCACAUACAUCCCCUCAGGCCUGGACCAUGGUGCAGCGCUGGUACAUGAACCAGUCCCAGGACGACUUGACGUGGCCCCACAGCCUGGAGCCACUGCUGCCCGCUGUGCCUGGAGCAGCUGUGCCAGCUCAGAGUCCUUUACUGGAAGCUGACAAAUAUGAGAAUGAUCCAGAAUUAGAACAGAUCUGAAAAGAGGAACUACUCCUAGAUGGACAUAAGAGCCAUAUGCAAAGAUAAACUGCCAAAUUGUGAAAAAAAGAUGGAGGUGUUUUAUGAGGAAGGAGCAUCUGCACUCGGAUGUAAGAUUUGCUGCAUCCUGGAGGGCAGCGGACACUUUGAUGUAAGAGGACUAGUGGAUCCAGAUUUUCAUGGAGAAAGGAGACAUGAUAACUCUUCUUGCAGGAAUUUAUCACUGCUUCACCGUGGAUGAGAAGAACUACAUGACGCCAUGUGGCUGUUUGUGGGAGGAGCAGUGUGGACCUCGUACAACUGGCCAGCUGACCAUUUCUAGGCUCAAGCACGUGAAAUUUUUGGCAUAGACAACAUAUUGAUGCUUCCUGGGAGCUAACACACCCUUUGUAAAGAUCCCAAACGUGAUAACUGAGCAGAAAAUCAAUCACUUUCUCUUUGCUUUUAUAUCGUAGGCUUAAAGCUAGAUUAUCUUUCUUUUGCAAGAUUAUUUGAUCAGACUUUUUUUUUUCUUUUUUGAGGAAGAUUAGCCCUGAGCUAACUACUGCCAAUCCCCCUCUUUUUGCUGAGGAGGACUGACCCUGAGCUAACAUCCAUGCCCAUCUUCCUCUACUUUAUAUGUGGGACACCUACCACAGCAUGACUCAAAUGAAAGUUUUAUCUCCUGAAAUGUAACUGCUUAGAUGCUCUAUCUGGACAUGAUUCUUAGACUUUGAACCAGCUUAUCAGUCAAUGCCAUGCCUGCCUUAUAAGAAGCUUGUGGUAUAAGAAAUAUAUUGGGUCUUUGUCCCUGGUUCCUGGCACAGAGCUACUAAAACCCUCGGAAUUUCCUAAGUGACAGGAGUGGCCUUUGUUAUUCAUAAGCAGCCCCUUUGAGCAUCCCUGUUCCACUGAGACUGAAGCUCCUGUGCUCAGGACCCUUCUGGACCUCGCUCUGUGUCCUUCCUCAUCUGGCUGUUCGUCUGUGUCCUUUAUAAUAAAUGAGUAAAUGUAAAUCCAGGUUUCCCUGAGUUUUGUGACCUGUUCUAGCGAACUAUGGGCCCCGAUGAGGGGGUCAUGGGAACCCCCAAUUUAUAGCCAGUCAGUCAGAAGUACAAUUGUCCUGGAUUUGCAAUUGGCAUCAGUCUUAUGGGGCUGAGCCCUUAAUUUGUAGGAUCUGAGGCUAACUCCAGGUAGAUGGUGUCAGAAUUGAGUUAAAUUGUAGGACAUUCAUUCCUCCUGAGAAUUGGAGAAUUACUUGGUGUGGGAAAACUAACUAGAAAGGUGUAAUGGUAGAUGAUAUUACUAACCAGAUAGAAGACACUUUUUUCUCCCAAAAUUAUGCCUCGGAGUGAGGAGUAGUAAGGGGGAAGAGCUCUCCUAUUAGGGCACACUCUCAGUGGCAUAUGCCACAUGCCACUUGCAACUUGCCUGUUCAAAAUAAAGAAACUGCCUUAAUUUAAAUUUGUAAAAAGGCCACCUGUGUCUGGCCCCCCUCCUGCUGCACUGAAACCUCAAAUUCCACAGACUUUGCAUGAGGGCUCUAAUUCUGUAUGCUGCGUGUGCUUGUUUUCUCAUCUCUUAUUCUUUUUAAAUUCAUGCUUAACUACUCUGGGAGAGAAGAGCUGUAAACAGUUUUAAUUAAACCAUACUUAUAGAAACCGACUUUCUUAUACUCUAUGCGUUUGGCAUUGCUGUUCUUGAAAAAUUAAAAGGUCUUUGAUAAAUGGGGGGGGGGAGAAUAUCCUCAGUAUCUGAAACAGCUGUAAAAAUACUCCUUUCUUUUCCUUUCCCAACUACAUGUCUCUGUGAGGCUGGAUUUUCUUCAUAUACUUCAACCAAAACAAACUUCAGCAGCAAACUGAAUGCAGAAGCGAGCGCGAGAAUCCAGCUACUGCCAGUAAGUCAGACACAAAGAGAUAUGCAAAAACAUAAACAAAGCAACGCUUCUCGGGGCCGGCCCCGUGGCUGAGUGGUUAAGGUCACGCACUCCGCUUUGGCAGCCCAGGGUUUUGCUGGUUCGAAUCCAGGGCGUGGACAUGGCACCACUCAUCAGGCCAUGCUGAGGCAGCGUCCCACAUGCCACAACUAGAAGGACCCACAACUAAAAUAUACAACUAUGUACUGGGGGGCCUUGGGGAGAAAAAGGAAAAGUAAAAUCUUUUUUAAAAAGUCUCUGUCUUUUAAUAGAUACAUUUAAACUAUUCACAUUUAUAAGGAUUACUGAAAAUUUUUACUUAUUUCUAUCACUUUAUUUUGUGUUUUCUAUUUGCCAUAUUUUUCUUUUACUUUUUUCCCUAAGUUUUAUUAACAUAUACUUGACAUACAGCGCCGUAUAGAUUUAAGGUGCACGGCAUAGUGAUUUGAGUAACUCUUGCUACUUUUCACAUCCUUUUUAAUUUUCUAUUGCUCAAUCAAGAUUUCUUUAAUGUCCUCCAGUCCCCUUACUGGUUUAGAAACUGUAUAUUUUAUUUCUACUGGUUUAGAAAUUAAAUUCUUGACUUUACAAAGUUUAAAACUCACUAUUUUCUCUUUUUUUUGGGGGGGGGAAGAGCAGCCCUGAGCUAACGUCUGUGCCCAUCUUCCUCUAUUUUAUAUGUGGGAUGGCUUGAUGAACACUGUGUAGGUCUGAGCCCAGGAUCCAAACUGGUGAACCCUGGCCCACCGAAGCAGAGUGAUGAACUUAACCACUAACCCACCAGGCCAGCCUCUCAUUACUUUCUUUAUCCUUCUUAAAAAUAUGAGAAACUUAGAUGAUUUCUCUCCAAUUUCUCCUCUCCUAUCUUCCAUGUUAUUAUUCCAUAGUAUUUUAGUUCCACCGGGUCUUCUGACCCCCCUCUUUUGUUUCAAACAGAUUGAUCAACAUGUUUGCUAGUUUCUUGGUUCAGCAUUGUGACUUGCAUUCCACUCCUACUUCCUGGGUUCAGUUUCCUAGUAACUGAGGAGCAUGAUUGAACAGGUCUUCCAAUAAAGGUCUGUGCAUAAUUGACUUUUCUCUGUCUCAAAUUUUAAUUUUACACUCACUUUUUUUUUUUUACUUUUUAAUGAAGUAUAAUAUAUAUAUAUAUAUAUAUACACACAUAUACAGAAAAGUACACAAAUUAUUAAUGUACAGUUUACGAAUGUUCACCCAAUCACUAAAGCAUAACAUCACCAGCACCCCCAAACCCCCCUCAAGCUGCCUCCUAGGCACUAACUUCCCCAAAAGCAACCACUAUCCUAACUUCAACUAAAAUGGACUGGCUUUGCCUGUUUUUGUUUUAUGUAAAUGGAAGCAAUCAUACAGUAUGGACUCUGUUGUGUCUGUCUUCUUCUCAAUGUUACAUUUGUGAAACUCAUCCAUGUUUUUGCAUGUAGCUGUAAUUUAGUAAUUCUGUUGCCAUAUAAAAUUCCAUUUUAUGAAUCUGCUGGAAUAUGUGUAUCCAUUCUACUAUUGAUGGGCAUUUGGGUUGUUUCUAGUUUGGGGCUAUUACUAAUGAUGCUUCUGUAAAGGUCCUGGCACUUGUCUUUUGCUGCACAUUUGUAUGAAAUUCUGUUGCAUGAUACUUAAGAGUGGAUUACUGGGUCACAGGGUACACACAGGAGCGUUCAGCUUUAACAGACACUGCCAAAGAAUUUUCCAAGUGAUUGUCUAAUUUAUAUUCUACCAGCAAUGGAUCAGAGGUUCAGUUUCUCUACAUCUUCACUCAUACUUGGCAUUGUCGUUCUUUUCAGCUUUAGUCAUUCUCAUGGGUAUAUAGUGGUAUCUCACGGUGGUUUUAAAUGGCAUUUCCCUGGAGACUAAUGAAAUGGAGCUCCUUUUCAGAUGCUUAUUUCCAUUUGAAUGUUCUCUUUUGUGAAGUGCCUAUUUCAAGUCCUCUGCCUGUUUUCCAUUGGAUUGUCUGUCUGUUUGUGAUUUGCAGGAGUUCUAUAUACAUUCUGAUAUGAGUCCCCUUUUUGGAUGUAUGUAUUGCAAAUGUCUUCUACUCAAUGGCUUGCCUUCUCACUCUUAUAAUAUAUAUAUUUUUUUUUAAGAUUUUUUUAUUUUUCCUUUUUCUCCCAAAGCCCCCCAGUACAUAAUUGUGUAUUUUUAGUUGUGGGUCCUUCUAGUUGUGGCAUGUGGGAUGCCGCCUCAGCAUGGCCUGAUGAGUGGUGCCAUGUCCACGCCCAGGAUCCAAACCAGCGAAACCCUGGGCUGCCAAAGCAGAGUGUGAGAACGUAACCACUCGGCCACGGGGCCAGUCCCUAAAUAUUCUUCUACAAGAUUUUUUUUUUAAUAGCUGCCAAAUAGGCAUCACGUGCCUCUCCCUAGAGCAGGGGCUCUGCAAUCAGACAAGCCUGGUUAAUCUCCUGCCUUCAUCCUCUACAGGCUGUGUAACUUUUAACAAGUUAUUUAAACACUCUGGGCUUUAGCCUUCCUGGGAGGUGCCCAGGUCUAGACCUGGGUGGAUACAUAAUUGGAUCUCAAUCCCUAAUAAAUAGCUGAUUGGUUUAGAAGCUUUGCAUCAACUGAAACAGUGGAUCAUUAACUCAAGAACAGUUAUUUAUUCAUUAAAGUCCCCUAAAGACCUGGGAUAGGCCAUAUUUCAUGAGUCCACAGUUUUAUUGCAUGUGACUAAGAACAAAAACACUGCAUUAAAAUGAAUGCCCUGUGGUAGUUGAAAGGCAAAGUCAGCAUUGGCAGCAUGAAGGAGUGGCCACUGAACCGCUUAACCAUAUUCCCUUGUCAGAUUGUCAGAUUCUUCCCUUUCUCUAGAGGCUGUGGUUAAGAGAGGGUUCCAACCUUGUCUUAGCUGGUUGCCUUAGGAGAGAAUUGGUUGAUUUCUGUGUUUCACUUUAUCAUCUGUAAAAUGGGUAGAGUAAAAGUUCAAUACCAACCUCAAGGCGAUGUUGUGAGGGUUAAUGAGUAUUACGUGAGGGAGGGUGUGACAAGUGUUAGGUGAUCAGUGGUGGCCACCAUUGUUGUCACCCUCGGUGGGGUACAGACCAGUAAGAUGUGGACAUGUGAAGCUGCUCACUUCAUUACUGAAGUGGGGAAACCCAAAAGGCUGGAAGGGGACGUGAGUCCUGUUUAUCUGGGACCGGGGCGGCCCAGUGGCACAGCAGUUAAGUGUGCACAUUCUGCUUCAGCGGCCCAGGGUUCACCGGUUCAGAUCCUGGGUGUGGACAUGGCACCGCUUGGCAAGCCAUGCUGUGGUAGGCGUCCCAUGUAUAAAGUAGAGGAAGAUGGGCACGGAUGUUAGCUCAGGGCCAGUCUUCCUCAGCAAAGAAGAAGAAAAUUGGCAGCAGAUGUUAGCUCUAAUCUUCCUCAAAAAAAAAAAAAAAAAAUCUAGGACAGAUGAGGAACACUGAAACUCAUGAGAAGUAGUGAAAGACAAAAUUCCUCACAUCAGUUUGUCCACUGAGGUGCUGGCAAAUGUUUUUAACAACCAGCUCUAUGUAGGGUGUGUGUGUGUGUGUGUGUGUGUAUGCUGACUUCCUGAUAUAAACGCUUCCGCAAUGGCUGAUUUCAAACUACCAACAUAACAUCACUGAACACAGAGUCGUACAGAUUCCCAUUAUAUAUAUAGUAUUUCCACCAUAUAGAUACAAUAGAUAUAAGUAUACUCAAGAGAAUAGAUACUAGUCAAAUAAAUAAGAAGUGGUAAGUUUUGAGUCUUUUAAUAUAAUUUACUUAAUUGUAAGUUUAUAUAACAGUUUUUAAUAAUGGCUGUGUUUAACAACUGGCUUGUAAAAUUCCUGAAAAAUUAACAUUUGGCUCUCAUAAGUCUAUACGAGCUGUCUCUAGCCACCACUGAAUUAGUCCACUGGUCCUCAUUUGGAGCCUUAAUCGUGGACAAAGAGUAGUAUUCAUGUUUAGUUCAGGACCUGGCACCCCGGCAAGUGCUAAGUAAGGGCAGAGUCAAUGUACUUCUAAAGACCAGUGCUCAUUCCCUUGGUAACUGGGUCUCCUCCCCCAGGACACAGCCCAAAAGGUGACCUUUUCCUUCCCUGGCUCUUGGCUGUUUAUCAUUCUGAUCUGCCAGCACCUCCCCCUGUUCAGGAUAGACUAUCACAGGACUGCCUGGGACGUGCACGGAGGGCAUCCUGGCCAGCCGCUUGCCGGAACUCAUGUCAGAUGCCUGCAAGGUCAUCCAGAUGGCCGGAAGGUGAACAGCAGCCCUGGGAAGGAGCUGCCUGCUCCUUGCCUCUCAGCCCCAUGACAUCUGUAUUUUGGAGUUUGGAGUGCCUUUGGCACACAGACCCCACCAGUCCACUGCCCUCAUGAGUUUCAAAACCUGGAUCCACGCUACCACUUCUCAGUUUAACCUCACGUCUCUCCAUUGCUUCUCUGCGCCUGCCAAUAGCAGAGAGAGUCCUAACAGACUACAUGCACUGGGCGCUCGCUCUAGAAUUAUCCCCCUUAAGCCUCAUAACAACCCUAUGAAGUAGGUACUAUCCUUAUCCCGGGUCUGUGGAUGAGAAAGCCAGGGCUCAGGGUGGUGUGCAUGAUUACCCACGGUCGUAGGGGGAGGACCCAGUAUUUUUCCUCUCUCCCUCAACUGUCUUCCUUCACGUGGUAAUCUCAGUUCCUGCAUGAUUAUUUUGCGUUCUUUAGCUUGUUGCGUACUGCUGAAUGUUCUCAGCACCAACGCGGUUGUGGAAGCCACGGGUCUGAAAAGAUUGCUCCAGGAGACAGUGUGCUGUGAGGAUGGAGGGGGGGAGAGGAGGAAUCGCUGAUGAGAUCCUGGGGGACACUGACGCCUAAGGGGCCCUGAGGAAGAGGAGACCCAGAAGGGCUGGCACAGAAAGUGCCAGAUGUCCAGGGGAUGGUCUGCAGGGGGGAAGCUACAAAGUGGACGAGUAAGUGAGCACCUAAAGGUGUCCCCUGGACUUAGCACUCCAGAAGCCAUCGGUGACCUUGGCAGGGGCCUUCUUUUAUUUCUUUACCAAGUGGGGAGGAGACUGGAGCAGGCAAAGCAGGAACCUAAUAGCAGUGGGUUGAAGAAAGGCUGGGAGGGAGCAAGGUGGGCUCAGCCAGUGUAGACUUCUCUUCCAGGAAUGAGGAAGCAGCAGGGGGAUGCUAGAUGGAAGGAUGGCUUUGGGGAUUUGGGUUUAGGUUGUUGUUGUUAUUGUUUUUUUAAACUGGGAAUAUCCUUAGCAAAUUUAUAUGCUGAGGAAAAGGAGCCGGCAGAGGUAAGGCUGAAGAUGUCAGUGAAAGAGGAGGGUGAAGGCAAGAGGUGGCCGAGGCCACACCCUGAGGGGUCCAAGCCGCAGACUGGAGAACAUCCCUUCCUCUCCUGGGGAGGAGGGAGCUGUGACAGGUGCUGUCCGGUGGCCUCUAUUUCCUCUGACAAAUGGGAGACAGAGAGUGAUGGGGACCAACAGAGAAGAGUGGUGGAAUUUGUAACAACCUGUUUGGGAGAACAGGAGGAGGUUGCCAAGAGACACAGCUGAAGGGCAGUGGGCGGUCUCCACAGGUGUCGCGUUGUCCCAGCAGCGAUAAACCUAGGCUUCUUUGUGAAUGCUGGUUACGUCUGUAGCUCUUAAGCUCCUUAAGCUCAUUCACCAUCUCCUUUCUUAUUGGUUUCACCAGCAGGAGGUGAUGCUUUCUCCAGGUUCUAAGGACAGCGCAUCAUGGCCACCCAAUAAAAGGUGCACGAGGUGUCUCUGGAUUUCUUUCCACCAUAUAGGUUACAAGAUGCAGUCAGCUGUCUGCAACCUGGAAGAAGGUUCUCACCAGGGCCAGCCCUGGUGGCCUAGUGGUUAAGUUCAGCGUGUUCUGCUUUGGCAGCCGGGGUUUGGUUCCCCACUGAAGACCUACACCACUUGUCGGUCAGCGGCCAUGCUGUGGCGGCGACUCACAUCGAAAAAGAGGAAGAUUGGCAACAGAUGUUAGCUGAGGGCAAAUCUUCCUCAGGAAAAAAAAAAAAAAAGAGGGCUCUCACUAAUCAGUCAGUGCCUUGAUCUUGGAAUUCCCAGCCUCCAGAGCCAUGAGAAAUAAAUGUUUGUUGUUUAAGCUGUU
ensembl:lncRNA